rnacentral:piRNA from 1 species
GGUGCAGGAUCCACUCUAGUACAAAAGCUGU